rnacentral:tRNA from 1 species
AGGGGUAGAGCUCAGUGGUAGAGCGCAUGCUUAGCAUACACGAGGUCCUGGGUUCAAUCCCCAGUACCUCCA